rnacentral:rRNA from 1 species
UACGAGGGGUGCAAGCGUUGCUCGGAAUUAUUGGGCGUAAAGGGUAGGUAGGUGGUCUCGUUUGUCUGGGGUGAAAUCCUUGAGCUUAACUCAAGAAGUGCCCCAGAAACGGCGAGACUAGAGUACUGGAGAGGGUCGUGGAAUUCCCAGUGUAGCGGUGAAAUGCGUAGAGAUCGGGAGGAACACCAGCGGCGAAGGCGGCGACCUGGACAGUCACUGACACUCAACUACGAAAGCGUGGGGAGCAAACAGG